rnacentral:lncRNA from 1 species
CUCUAAGGAACAUACUCUCUCAGAAAAAGAACUAAAAACUAAUUCCAAGUCAGUGAAGCAGCCUCAUUCGGGCUGUCUAACUCACAGAUGCACACCACUCAUAGGUGGCUCCUCGAAGUUUGAAAGUAGUGAAGGAAACCCUGCUCGACCCUGAUAUAUCCAUGGUACGGAGAAUGCGGUAACAGUUAUCCAGAAAUCUAGAGCAUCAUCCGAUGCUAGACCACUAAAUACAGGUAGCUUAUACUUCUUGAACCUCUCAAGUCUUAGUUGCUCAUACUCGAAAACCGCUGCCCUAUCCUUAGGCUGAUCUCAGACUGCUGGCGGUAUAUGAAUAAUCUCAAGAACCUGCUCAACAUGCACUCGUUGCUCUGGAGAGCUAGUGGCAGGAGUCUGUGCUCCAACCCCGACAUGAGAUAUAGCUGCAACAAUGGGAAACAACCCUUCCUUAGCCAAAGUGGUGUGCAUGCUCAUGAACAAUGCCAGAGUCUCCUAAAGUGCUGGAGUGGUAGUAGCAGUAGGCGUAUUAGGUGCUUGAACUUGGGCUGGAGCUAUUGGUGGUACCUUGGUGGCAUCUCGCAUAGGUGCUCUGGCUGCACCACGUGCGCGUUCUCGGCCUCUCUACC